UGUGUGCUGGAGGAUGAAGUACGGAGUGAUCCAUCGGCUGAGUGUUGUACACUGUGCUGAAACUCACGUUGCUGACAGUGCACU